UGACCGCGAUGGUGCGUUGCCGCCGUUUU
rnacentral:sRNA from 1 species